rnacentral:rRNA from 1 species
UACGUAGGGUGCAAGCGUUGUCCGGAAUUAUUGGGCGUAAAGAGCUCGUAGGCGGUUUGUCGCGUCUGCUGUGAAAUCCCGAGGCUCAACCUCGGGCCUGCAGUGGGUACGGGCAGACUAGAGUGCGGUAGGGGAGAUUGGAAUUCCUGGUGUAGCGGUGAAAUGCGCAGAUAUCAGGAGGAACACCGGUGGCGAAGGCGGUUCUCUGGAACGCAACUGACGCUGAGACGCGAAAGCGUGGGGAGCAAACAGG